GGGGCCAUAGCUCAGGGGUAAAGCAUCUGCUUUCCAUGCAGAAGAUCCCAGGUUCAAGACCUGGUGUCUCCA